rnacentral:rRNA from 1 species
AGGUGUUGUUGGGUAGGGGAGCGUUCUGUAAGCCUGCGAAGGUGGCCUGUGAGGGUUGCUGGAGGUAUCAGAAGUGCGAAUGCUGACAUAAGUAACGAUAAAGCGGGUGAAAAGCCCGCUCGCCGGAAGACCAAGGGUUCCUGUCCAACGUUAAUCGGGGCAGGGUGAGUCGACCCCUAAGGCGAGGCCGAAAGGCGUAGUCGAUGGGAAACGGGUUAAUAUUCCCGUACUUGGUGUUACUGCGAAGGGGGGACGGAGAAGGCUAUGUUGGCCGGGCGACGGUUGUCCCGGUUUAAGCGUGUAGGUGUGUGUUCCAGGUAAAUCCGGUUCACUUUAACACUGAGGCGUGACGACGAGGCACUACGGUGCUGAAGCAACAAAUGCCCUGCUUCCAGGAAAAGCCUCUAAGCAUCAGGUAACAUCAAAUCGUACCCCAAACCGACACAGGUGGUCAGGUAGAGAAUACCAAGGCGCUUGAGAGAACUCGGGUGAAGGAACUAGGCAAAAUGGUGCCGUAACUUCGGGAGAAGGCACGCUGACACGUAGGUGAAGUGAUUUACUCACGGAGCUGAAGUCAGUCGAAGAUACCAGCUGGCUGCAACUGUUUAUUAAAAACACAGCACUGUGCAAACACGAAAGUGGACGUAUACGGUGUGACGCCUGCCCGGUGCCGGAAGGUUAAUUGAUGGGGUCAGCGCAAGCGAAGCUCCUGAUCGAAGCCCCGGUAAACGGCGGCCGUAACUAUAACGGUCCUAAGGUAGCGAAAUUCCUUGUCGGGUAAGUUCCGACCUGCACGAAUGGCGUAAUGAUGGCCAGGCUGUCUCCACCCGAGACUCAGUGAAAUUGAACUCGCUGUGAAGAUGCAGUGUACCCGCGGCAAGACGGAAAGACCCCGUGAACCUUUACUAUAGCUUGACACUGAACAUUGAGCCUUGAUGUGUAGGAUAGGUGGGAGGCUUUGAAGUGUGGACGCCAGUCUGCAUGGAGCCGACCUUGAAAUACCACCCUUUAAUGUUUGAUGUUCUAACGUGGACCCGUGAUCCGGGUUGCGGACAGUGUCUGGUGGGUAGUUUGACUGGGGCGGUCUCCUCCUAAAGAGUAACGGAGGAGCACGAAGGUUGGCUAAUCCUGGUCGGACAUCAGGAGGUUAGUGCAAUGGCAUAAGCCAGCUUGACUGCGAGCGUGACGGCGCGAGCAGGUGCGAAAGCAGGUCAUAGUGAUCCGGUGGUUCUGAAUGGAAGGGCCAUCGCUCAACGGAUAAAAGGUACUCCGGGGAUAACAGGCUGAUACCGCCCAAGAGUUCAUAUCGACGGCGGUGUUUGGCACCUCGAUGUCGGCUCAUCACAUCCUGGGGCUGAAGUAGGUCCCAAGGGUAUGGCUGUUCGCCAUUUAAAGUGGUACGCGAGCUGGGUUUAGAACGUCGUGAGACAGUUCGGUCCCUAUCUGCCGUGGGCGCUGGAGAACUGAGGGGGGCUGCUCCUAGUACGAGAGGACCGGAGUGGACGCAUCACUGGUGUUCGGGUUGUCAUGCCAAUGGCACUGCCCGGUAGCUAAAUGCGGAAGAGAUAAGUGCUGAAAGCAUCUAAGCACGAAACUUGCCCCGAGAUGAGUUCUCCCUGAGACUUAGAGUCUCCUGAAGGAACGUUGAAGACGACGACGUUGAUAGGCCGGGUGUGUAAGCGCAGCGAUGCGUUGAGCUAACCGGUACUAAUGAACCGUGAGGCUUAACCUUACA